rnacentral:rRNA from 1 species
UACGGGGGGGGCAAGCGUUGUCCGGAAUUAUUGGGCGUAAAGGGCUCGUAGGCGGUCUGUCGCGUCGGGAGUGAAAACUCAGGGCUUAACCCUGAGCCUGCUUCCGAUACGGGCAGACUAGAGGUAUGCAGGGGAGAACGGAAUUCCUGGUGUAGCGGUGGAAUGCGCAGAUAUCAGGAGGAACACCGGUGGCGAAGGCGGUUCUCUGGGCAUUACCUGACGCUGAGGAGCGAAAGUGUGGGGAGCGAACAGG